rnacentral:sRNA from 1 species
UGUUUUGCCAGCUUCACGCCACCCGGGAUGGGAGAAAGCAGGUGUCGCGAGAGUUGGGCGCAAGACGCCUUGUAGGGAGUGUAGCUAUGGCCGGCCUGCGGAACGAAAGUGAACAGGAGCCGCUCUUAGGCGACACACCUGGAAGCAGAGAAUGGGACAUUUUAGAGACUGAAGAGCAUUAUAAGAGCCGAUGGAGAUCUAUUAGGAUUUUAUAUCUUACUAUGUUUCUCAGCAGUGUAGGGUUUUCUAUAGUGAUGAUGUCCAUAUGGCCAUAUCUCCAAAAGAUUGAUCCGACAGCUGAUACAAGUUUUUUGGGCUGGGUUAUUGCUUCAUAUAGUCUUGGCCAAAUGGUAGCUUCACCUAUAUUUGGUUUAUGGUCUAAUUAUAGACCAAGAAAAGAGGCUCUUAUUGUCUCCAUCUUGAUUUCCGUGGCAGCCAACUGCCUCUAUGCAUAUCUCCACAUCCCAGCUUCCCAUAAUAAAUACUACAUGCUGGUUGCUCGUGGAUUGUUGGGAAUUGGAGCAGGUAAGGUUGUAUGUAUAUGUUUGGUUGUGUCAUAUUCACAUUCAUUCUGACAUUUAUGGCUCACUUUCACCUGGUCUCAUCCCCUUUUAAACUCAUAUUUCACAGUUCAACAUACAUGUUUCUCAUUGUAAACAAAUAUUUUUCCUAUCAUUUUACCUUUGCUCAUGAUGUUCUCAUUACCUAUAGUUUCUCUUCUGUUCCCAUCAUUCUUCAUCCUUCAACAUUCAGUUUAAACCAGGUGUGGUGGCACGUGCCUAUAAUACCAGCUACUCAGGAGACUGAGUUAGCAGAAUCUCUUGAGCCCAGGAGUUCGAGGCCAGCCUGGGUAACAUAGGGAGACCUCCAUCUAAAAAAAAAAAAA